UACGAGAGGUGCAAGCGUUUGUCCGGAUUUAUUGGGCGUAAAGCGUUUCUAAAGGCGCUUUUGUAAGUUAUUUUUCAAAGACCGAAGCUCAACUUCGGGAAGGGAAGUAAUACUGCAAGAGUUGAAAUAUUUCGGGGUUACUGGAACUAUCGGUGUAGGGGUGAAAUCCGUUGAUAUCGAUAGGAACUCCAAGGGCGAAGGCAGGUAACUAGGAAUUUUUUGACGCUGAUGAACGAAAGCUAGGGGAGCGAACAGG
rnacentral:rRNA from 1 species